ensembl:snoRNA
UCAGUGGUAUAUGAUGACUUUAUCUUUUUUCCCCAUCAUAUCGGUAAUGCUGAUAAGAUGUGAAUUCUAGCCAGAUGGUCUGAUUCCGCUGA